rnacentral:rRNA from 1 species
AGGGUGCAGGGCGGAUGCCUUGGCACUAGGAGCCGAUGAAGGACGUGAUAAGCUGCGAUAAGCUUCGGGGAGUUGCACGUAAACUUUGAUCCGAAGAUUUCCGAAUGAGGAAACUCACUUAGAGUAAUGUCUAAGUAUCAUUAAGUGAAUACAUAGCUUAAUGAGGGGAACUCAGGGAACUGAAACAUCUAAGUACCUGAAGGAAGAGAAAGAAAUUCGAUUCCGUAAGUAGCGGCGAGCGAACGCGGAUUAGCCCAAACCAAUAAAGUUUUCUUUAUUGGGGUUGCGGACAUAUCAUAACGAAGAGGUAUCGUAAUUGAAGAGGUUUGGAAAGACCCACCACAGAAGGUAAUAGUCCUGUAUGUUAAACGAGAAGACUUNAGAUAUGAUCCAGAGUACCACGGGACACGUGAAACCCUGUGGGAAGCAGGAGGGACCACCCUCCAAGGCUAAAUACUACCUAGUGACCGAUAGCGUAUAGUACCGUGAGGGAAAGGUGAAAAGAACCCCGGGAGGGGAGUGAAAUAGAACCUGAAACCCUGCACUUACAAGCUGUGGAAGCACAUUUCUUGUGUGACCGCGUACUUUUUGUAGAACGGGCCAACGAGUUACGUUAAGUAGCAAGGUUAAGCACUUAAGGUGCGGAGCCGUAGCGAAAGCGAGUUUUAACUGAGCGUUCAGUUACUUGACGUAGACCCGAAACCGGGCGACCUACCCAUGAGCAGGAUGAAGCGAAAGUAAAAUUUCGUGGAGGUCCGAACCCACGAGCGUUGAAAAGCUCGGGGAUGACUUGUGGGUAGCGGUGAAAUUCCAAUCGAGCCCGGAGAUAGCUGGUUCUCCCCGAAAUAGCUUUAGGGCUAGCCUCAAGGUGAGAGAUACGGAGGUAGAGCACUGAAUGUCCUAGGGGGUAUUGCACCUACCGAAGACUAUCAAACUCCGAAUGCCGUCAUCUUAUACUUGGGAGUCAGACUGUGGGUGAUAAGAUUCAUAGUCGAAAGGGCAACAGCCCAGAUCGUCAGCUAAGGUCCCUAAAUGUAAGUUAAGUGGUAAAGGAUGUGGGAUUGCACAGACAACCAGGAUGUUGGCUUAGAAGCAGCCACUCAUUCAAAGAGUGCGUAAUAGCUCACUGGUCGAGUGAUCCUGCGCCGAAGAUUUCCGGGGCUAAAACUUACUACCGAAGCUACGGCAUCAGUAAUGAUGGGUAGGGGAGCUUCCCAUACGGGUUGAAGCAUGACCGUAAGGACAUGUGGACAGUAUGGGAGUGAGAAUGUUGGCAUGAGUAGCGAGAUGUGGGUGAGAAUCCCACAGGCCGUAAACCCAAGGUUUCCAGGGGAAGGUUCGUCCGCCCUGGGUUAGUCGGGACCUAAGCUGAGGCCGAAAGGCGUAGGUGAUGGACAACAGGUUGAUAUUCCUGUACUACCGAUAACCGUUUGAGAGAAGGGAUGACACAGUAGGAUAAGCUAAGCACACUGUUGGUUAUGUGUGCCCAAGCAUUGAGGCAGUCAAAGUAGGCAAAUCCGCUUUGAUAAUGCUGGGAUGUGAUGGGGAGCGAAAUUUAGUAGCGAAGUAGCUGAUUUCACACUGUCAAGAAAAGUCUCUAUCGAGGUUAAAGGUACCCGUACCGCAAACCGACACAGGUGGGUGAGGAGAGUAUCCUAAGGCCAGCGAGAGAACUGUUGUUAAGGAACUCGGCAAAAUGACCCCGUAACUUAGGGAUAAGGGGUGCCACCAUCAGGUGGCCGCAGAGAAUAGGCCCAAGCGACUGUUUACCAAAAACAUAGGUUUCUGCUAAGUCGCAAGACGAUGUAUAGGAGCUGACGCCUGCCCGGUGCUGGAAGGUUAAGGGGAUCUGUUAGAGCAAUCGAAGCAGUGAACUUAAGCCCCAGUAAACGGCGGCCGUAACUAUAACGGUCCUAAGGUAGCGAAAUUCCUUGUCGGGUAAGUUCCGACCCGCACGAAAGGCGUAACGAUUUGGGCACUGUCUCAACAACAGACUCGGUGAAAUUGUAAUUCCGGUGAAGAUGCCGGAUACCUGCGACAGGACGGAAAGACCCCAUGGAGCUUUACUGUAGCUUGACAUUGGGUCUUGGUACUACAUGUACAGGAUAGGUGGGAGGCUUUGAAACCAGGACGCCAGUUUUGGCGGAGCCAUCCUUGGGAUACCACCCUUGUAGUACUGGGACUCUAACCAUAGGCCAUGAAUCUGGUCUUGGGACACUGUCAGGUGGGCAGUUUGACUGGGGCGGUCGCCUCCCAAAAGGUAACGGAGGCGCUCAAAGGUUCUCUCAGUACGGUCGGAAAUCGUACGUAGAGUGUAAAGGCAAAAGAGAGCUUGAUUGCAAGACAUACAGGUCGAGCAAGGAUGAAAAUCGGACUUAGUGAUCCGGUGGUUCUGCGUGGAAGGGCCAUCGCUCAACGGAUAAAAGCUACCCUGGGGAUAACAGGCUUAUCUCCCCCAAGAGUCCACAUCGACGGGGAGGUUUGGCACCUCGAUGUCGGCUCAUCACAUCCUGGGGCUGUAGUAGGUCCCAAGGGUUGGGCUGUUCGCCCAUUAAAGUGGUACGCGAGCUGGGUUCAGAACGUCGUGAGACAGUUCGGUCCCUAUCCGUCGCAGGCGUAGGAAAUUUGAGAAGACCUGUCCUUAGUACGAGAGGACCGGGAUGGACGUACCUCUGGUGUACCAGUUGUCCUGCCAAGGGCAUGGCUGGGUAGCUAUGUACGGAAUGGAUAAGCGCUGAAAGCAUCUAAGCGCGAAGCCAACUUCAAGAUAAGAUUUCCCACCGCAAGGGUAAGACCCCAGAAAGACUAUCUGGUUGA